rnacentral:rRNA from 1 species
GGUAUCCUACGGGGGGCAGCAGUAGGGAAUCUUCCACAAUGGGCGAAACCCUGAUGCAGCAACGCCGCGUGAAGGAAGACGGUUUUCGGAUUGUAAACUUCUGUUCUUAGUGAAGAAGAAUGACGGUAGCUAAGGAGCAAGCCACGGCUAACUACGUGCCAGCAGCCGCGGUAAUACGUAGGUGGCAAGCGUUGUCCGGAAUUACUGGGUGUAAAGGGAGCGCAGGCGGGAAGCCAAGUCAGCUGUGAAAACUACGGGCUUAAAUUGUAGACUGCAGUUGAAACUGGGUUUCUUGAGGGAAGUAG